UAUUGUCAAUAAUUCAUAUGGUUUUGCUAUUGGUAUAAGUAUAAUAUAGAUUUUUUUUUUGUUUCACUACAAUGUGACUCAAAGCAUCUGUAUAACUGCAGGACUCCAUUGGUACACGAUGUUGAAGGAAAAUCAAAAUUUGUCAUACGCCUUACCAUGAAGUGCCUUAUGAUAGUUUGGAUGUUUAGAUGCUUUUAAUUAUCUAUUAGAGUCAUUUUGGAGUCAAUUUGAACAUAGAAAUGUCAACACAUCGAGCAUGGAUGUAUAAUAGGCUUCCCG